UGAGUAGUACAGAUGAUCGCGGCUGCAAGUGUCGAAAGACCGCAGGUGAGGAAAGUCCGGGCUUCGCAGGGCAGGAUGCCGGAUAACGUCCGGUGGAGGUGACUCCAAGGCUAGUGCAACAGAAAUAUACCGCCAGUGCUUAACACUUAGUGUUGAGCUUAUUGGUAAGGGUGGAAAGGCAGUGUAAGAGACUACCGUGGUAUUGGUAACAAUACUGGCUAUGUAAACCCCAUUCGAAGCAAGACCAAAUAUAAAGCGAUACGGCUGCCCGUCGUGCUUUUAGGUAGGUUGCUUGAGCCUGCUGGUAACAGCAGGUCUAGAUAGAUGAUCAUCAGUAGUCAGGUCAAAGCCUGGCUGGACAUAACCCGGCUUAUAGUACUGCUCAUAUU
rfam:Eubacterium sp. CAG:76 genomic scaffold, scf92